GGAGAAUGGGAGCUUGCUCCCAUUUCUCGCGGCGGACGGGUGAGUAACACGUGGGCAACCUGCCCUACAGACUGGGAUAACUCCGGGAAACCGGAGCUAAUACCGGGUAAUACAUAGCAUCGCAUGAUGCAACGUUGAAAGUUGGCCUUUGGCUAACACUGUAGGAUGGGCCCGCGGCGCAUUAGCUAGUUGGUAAGGUAACGGCUUACCAAGGCCACGAUGCGUAGCCGACCUGAGAGGGUGAUCGGCCACACUGGGACUGAGACACGGCCCAGACUCCUACGGGAGGCAGCAGUAGGGAAUCUUCCGCAAUGGACAAAAGUCUGACGGAGCAACGCCGCGUGAGUGACGAAGGCCUUCGGGUCGUAAAGCUCUGUUGUUAGGGAAGAACAAGUACCGUUCGAAUAGGGCGGUACCUUGACGGUACCUAACCAGAAAGCCACGGCUAACUACGUGCCAGCAGCCGCGGUAAUACGUAGGUGGCAAGCGUUGUCCGGAAUUAUUGGGCGUAAAGCGCGCGCAGGCGGUCUCUUAAGUCUGAUGUGAAAGCCCACGGCUCAACCGUGGAGGGCCAUUGGAAACUGGGGGACUUGAGUGCAAAAGAGGAGAGUGGAAUUCCACGUGUAGCGGU
rnacentral:rRNA from 1 species